rnacentral:rRNA from 1 species
GAGUUUGAUCGUGGCUCAGAUUGAACGCUAGCGGGAUGCCUUACACAUGCAAGUCGAACGGCAGCACGGACUUCGGUCUGGUGGCGAGUGGCGAACGGGUGAGUAAUGUAUCGGAACGUGCCUAGUAGCGGGGGGAUAACUACGCGAAAGCGUAGCUAAUACCGCAUACGCCCUACGGGGAAAGCAGGGGAUCGCAAGACCUUGCACUAUUAGAGCGGCCGAUAUCGGAUUAGCUAGUUGGUGGGGUAACGGCUCACCAAGGCGACGAUCCGUAGCUGGUUUGAGAGGACGACCAGCCACACUGGGACUGAGACACGGCCCAGACUCCUACGGGAGGCAGCAGUGGGGAAUUUUGGACAAUGGGGGAAACCCUGAUCCAGCCAUCCCGCGUGUGCGAUGAAGGCCUUCGGUUGUAAG